CACUCUGGAAAGCAGAGCGAACCGGCCACCGCCGUUCGUUCUCACCGACGGAGUAAACCGCGCAUGGCGCGGUGAAUCUCUCAGGUUCCCGGACAGAGGGGG
rnacentral:ncRNA from 1 species